UGUAGAACACCUGUGACUUGUCACACGGACAACAUUUGCUUUUCACACCAUUAGGAGAGGUGUAGACUGACCAGGAGAAGAGAGACUUGACUGUAGGCUGGAAAGUCAAAUCGGAUGAGGCCAGUGGACUUCGGGGAUGGUGCUGAAUAACCGAUGUGUUCGCUGAUGAGGAUUUUGACCAUUUUCAAAAAUAAAAACAUUUUCAAAUAAUA